GAGGACUAGGGCCUCUUCUUCCUGGGGGCUCUGUGACCUCACCUCAUUACAAUCACAGAGUUCUGCCCAGGAGGCCUCGGGGGCAUAGGGUAGAAGGAGGCCAUACUGUGACCCCAGAUGGGAAAAUGGAAGUUUCUGGGCUGAAGUGGAACUUAAAGGAAAGUGGAGGAGGAGAAGGCUACCUCAGAUGGAGGAAAUGUGUGGAGCUGAAGAGCUUAAGCUUAUGGAUGGGCACUGGGGAGCCACAGAGAGUGUUUGAGCAGAGGAGUGGCCUGACAUGAGAUGUGAUUGUCUAGAAGCAGUGUAGAAGAUUGACAGGAGGGCAAGAAAUUGAGACUGGGGAUGCCAGUCCCAAGACUUGGUAGGAAAUCUUGGGUGGUGCUAUGAAGAUUUUUCUACACAUCCUCUGAUGCACAUAUGUGAGGAUUUGUAUACAACUACAAACAGAACUUCUGACUCAUAAGAUGGUCACAAUCUUAUAAAGGUGUUAACUUUAUAAUAUAAGAUUAUUUUCCAAA